UUUUCGCGCUUAAGGUUACGAAUAUCCUUUCAAUUUCACAUGUCUAUAUAGUCCCACUCAUUUCAUUGUCGCAGUGCCUUUUCGCUAAAUCCAACCGCUUCACCUAAAAAGUUUCCAGCAAUUAUACAUUGUAAUGUCCUUUGUUUCUCCUCCACUCUUCUCGCUGUCUUCCGCUCUUUACGCAUUCAAUUUGCAUUUAUCCCACCCCAUCCCGACCCUAUUUGGGUAAAUCCGACAGUCACUGUCUUACCCAUCAUGACCGUCCAUCCUUGUAGUAUUAUGCCGCAUCGAUUUGUCGCAUCACACCGUCGCCUGUUGGAGUUCACCGGUCAAUCUCCUUCAGAAUAUUGUCCAUGAUAUGAUGCUGCUCCGGACACGCACGCCCCCCCGAAUCGUAUUUAUGUACUGCUUUUGUCCGGUUCGAUGUGCCCGAAGUUUACUGUUCGAUCAUGUCCGCUUUUUACAAUCUCAUCCACAUUUAGUCAUCUGAAUGAAACGGCGCACAAGAAGUUGUUGGGGACUUAUAUUUUACUCUUAGAUUCAUAAAAGCCUCAUGCGUAUUGUAAACCUUUGGCAUCCCCCUAUCUACUGCAUUAAUAUAUGCACACAAA